GUCUGUCGCCAUGGCAGGAAAUGGUGAACGUGUAGUGAUUGGUACCCCAAAGCAUGACGAGAAUGGGAAAAACUCUGGGCAGGUGAAAGUAUUUGAGUACAAUUCACAAGAAGAGU
rnacentral:ribozyme from 1 species